rnacentral:rRNA from 1 species
AUACGGAGGGUGCGAGCGUUGUCCGGAAUCACUGGGCGUAAAGGGCGCGUAGGCGGUGACUUAAGCGUGUGGUGAAAGCCCGGGGCUCAACCCCGGGUCGGCCGUGCGAACUGGGUCACUCGAGCACUGUAGAGGCAGGUGGAAUUCCGGGUGUAGCGGUGGAAUGCGUAGAGAUCCGGAAGAACACCAGUGGCGAAGGCGGCCUGCUGGGCAGUAGCUGACGCUGAGGCGCGACAGCGUGGGGAGCAAACAGGAUUAGAUACCCUAGUAGUCC